AUGAACACUUUUUGUUACAAUUCAGUCCUUUUCCUUUCGAGUAAAACCCUGAACCCUAUGAUUCGUUUCGAAAAUCGAAAGUCGUUGUUUUCACUCUGUGAGUGGCUCCAGUCUCUGAUUCCGAUUCCAGGUAUGCUCUCCAAGACUCGAACCAUCUCUUCCUAUCUGCACAGCCGCGCCACAUCGCACGCGAACCCAGAAAUCCACCUUGAGAUCAAACCCAUUUCGAGUCUGAAGGUGGUGUGGCGCAAAGACCCAAAGCUAGACCAGGCCAUAGAGAACGACAAGCCGUACAAGCUCUGCGCCCGGGUCGUGAAGGAGGUCCUAAACGAGCCGGGCCAGAAAAUCCCACUCCGGUACCUCGAAAAAAGGCGCGAGAGAUUGCGCCUCAGAACCAAAGCCACAACCUUUAUUGGCAAAAACCCAGGUUUAUUUGAGGUCUACUACGAUAGAAUCAAACCCAAAACUGAGAAGGUUCAGUUUCUUAGGGUUAGUGAUAGGCUGAGAGAGUUUCUUGAGGAAGAGAAGAGGAUUAAUGUGGAAAAUGAGGGUUUGAUAGUGUCUAAGUUGUGUAAAUUGUUGAUGAUGGCCAAGAAUAAGGUGGUUAGUGCUGAUAAAUUGGUUGAUGUGAAGAGGGAAUUUGGGUUCCCUAAUGAUUUUAUGGUGAAUUUGGUGCCUAAAUAUUCGCAGUAUUUUCGGCUGGUUGGGGGUUCCAGCGAGGGCAAGUCAUUCUUGGAAUUGGUUGAUUGGAACCCCGAGUUUGCGAAAUCUGUGAUUGAGAGGAGAGCAGAAGAGGAGUCAAGCUUGACAGGGAUCCGGGUUCGGCCUAAUUUUGAUUACAAACUUCCACAAGGGUUUGUGUUGAACAAGGCAAUGAGGGAGUGGGUUAGGGAUUGGAUGGAAAUGGAUUAUAUGUCGCCGUAUGAGGAUGUUUCCAAGUUGGAUCAAGCGUCCCCAGAAAUGGAGAAGCGGACGGUUGGGGUUUUCCAUGAGUUAUUGUCAUUGUCUUUGUUGAAGAGGAUGCCUGUGCCCAUACUGGGAAAAUUUUGUGAUGAGUAUAGGUUUUCAAAUGCAUUCCCGAAUGUAUUCACAAGGCAUUCGGGGUUGUUUUAUGUCUCACAGAAAGGAGGGAUCAAGACGGCGGUGCUGAGGGAAGCUUACAAGGAUGACCAGUUGAUUGAUCGGGAUCCGCUGCUACAGAUUAAGGAUAAGUUUGUUGAGCUAUUGGAGGAAGGAUGGCGCGAGAGCACACAGCAGUUGAGGUUGCAAAGGGAAGAAGUUAAAGGGCAUGGCUGUGAGGAAUGAAGAAUAGGGAAAGCACAGGUACAAAGAAUGAUGGUGAUCAACAAAGGCAAGUUUUGCAACUAGAUGAAUGCUGGCAGCUUCAACCAAGGUUUUGUUGAAGAAGAAAAUGAGGAAGUGGAUUAGUGAUUGGGUGAAACAGGAUUUAUAUAUCACCAUAUGAGGAUAUAUCACUUUUGGGCAAGCUUCGCAGAAAUGGAGAACAGAGCAAGCUUCCAUAAGUUGUUAUCUUUGUCUUUAUGGAAGGGAGUCCUGUGCCCAUGUUAGUAAAAUUUUGGGAUGACUAUAGGUUUUCAAAUGCACUCUCGAAUGUAUUCAGAUGGCAAUCCAGGAUAUUCUGUGUCAGAGGGACCAAGACAGUAAUGCUUACGGAAUUUAGAAGAAUGACCAGUUGAUUAAUCAGGAGCCACUGUUAGGGAUGAAGGAAAAGUUUAUUGAGCUAUAGGAGGGUAGCAGGAGAGAGCGGAGCAGAUGCAGUUGCAAAGGGAAGAGGUUAAGAACAUAGAGGUGUUGGCUGGGAAAAAUAAUGAAGAGGUGCAGAGAAUUGUGGUAAUUAAGAAGGCUUUGUUUUGCAACUAGAUGAAUGGUGACAGGUAUGAGAAGUUAAUUCUAAUCUUUAUUUAGAAUGUCUGUUGAUAUUGAGCUGAAAAAUACGUUGAAGUAUUGGAUGUAUCCUUGUAUAUGAUAUACUAUUCUGUCUUGAAGAAGGUUUCUGUUUUUAGUCUUGUAUAAUGUUGCUUUGUAGUAAUCCAACCCAUUCAUCUAAAGUUCAUAGUGAUUCUUGGUUAACUGCUCUCUUAAUCUUUUCAAUGGAAGGGUGAAUCCACCUUCUUCUUUUAAAUCUGUUAUGCUAUCAUAUACAAGUCCCAUUAUUAUAUAUGUGCAUCUUUCUGCUGGAUUCUACUACAUUGGUAUAUUGCUAAGAGAACCAUUGGGACCUUUGCUGCUGCAUCCUUGCAAUUUACAUGACUAAGUUAAUGGUGAUAGUUAUCUAUAAAGCAUGUUAAUUGUUUUCAAAUCCUCAUUUUGAACUUUGCCAAUUGUCCGUUUGCCAAAUCCUAGGAGCUAGGUAGUCAGUCAUGUCCCACCCCUUAAGCAUGAGGAGGAAUCUGCAACAUGA